GUCUCACCAAGGAGGGUGAGGAGACACACACACACACACAGAGAGAAAGGUCUCACCAAGGAGGGUGAGGAGACACACACAGAGAGAAAGGUCUCACCAAGGAGGGUGAGGACACGCACACAGAGAGAGAAAGGUCUCACCAGCAAGAAUAAGGAGGAGAGACUACCUAUAAUCUCUUUCACACAUAGCGAGGAUGAGAGACUACUGAUACUUUACUGAAUACUGGCCUUGUGAUAGGUUUAUAACCUUUGUUUAUUUGACAAUGUGUUACAGUACUGUUGGGCAGGAAUAAAAGUUUGAGCCAAGCAGGCCACACCAGCUCUUUCUGGAUAUUGGCCAUAGCAGCUCUAAGCAAUCAUGACCUACACAAAUGACACCCUGCUAUUCCCUACAUAGGGAACUUUUGACCAGGCAUUAUGGCACUGCAGUGCACUGCGGGAAUAGGUUUCCAUUUGGGACACAGUGAAUAAUACUACCAACACCUGUGGUGAUGCGCCACACACAGGCCUUCCACUUCUGAAAUCUCAGACUUCCGACUUCAGUACAUUAAAGAGAACUGGGAACUGGUCAUCCAACUCCAAAUUCGAAGUCGGUAACUGGGGCAUCUUUCUAGAGCUCUGACUUUCCAACCUGAAGAUCACUGACAUCAUGAUUUGAAUGCGUUU
rnacentral:lncRNA from 1 species